GGUAGCGUGGCCGAGCGGUCCAAGGCGCUGGAUUUAGGCUCCGGGGGCGUGGGUUCGAAUCCCACCGCUGCCA